rnacentral:rRNA from 1 species
UGAACGCUGGCGGCAGGCCUAACACAUGCAAGUCGAACGGAUACCUUCGGGGAUUAGUGGCGGACGGGUGAGUAACGCGUGGGAACAUACCCUUUGGUACGGAAUAGCCUCGGGAAACUGGGAGUAAUACCGUAUGUGGUACGAGAGACGAAAGAUUUAUCGACCAAAGGAUUUGGGCCCGCGUUGGAUUAGGUAGUUGGUGGGGUAAUGGACCUACCAAGCCGACGAUCCAUAGGCUGGUUUGAGAGGAUGAUCAGCCACACUGGGACUGAGACACGGCCCAGACUCCUACGGGAGGCAGCAGUGGGGAAUCUUAGACAAUGGGGG